GCGUCCGUAGCUCAGUUGGUUAGAGCACCACCUUGACAUGGUGGGGGUCGGUGGUUCGAGUCCACUCGGACAGA
rnacentral:tRNA from 1 species